rnacentral:rRNA from 1 species
CAAUAGCGUAUAUUAAAGUUGUUGCAGUUAAAAAGCUCGUAGUUGAAUUUGUGCCCAUCUCCAUUGUCCGUUUUGGUACUAUUGGUGAUGUGCAUCCUUGGGUGGAACAUGUGUGGCAUUAGGUUGUCGUGCAUGGGAUGCUCAUCGUUUACUGUGAAAAAAUUAGAGUGUUCAAAGCAGGCUUACGCCGUUGAAUAUAUUAGCAUGGAAUAAUAAGAUAGGACCUUGGUACUAUUUUGUUGGUUUGCGCAUCGAGGUAAUGAUUAACAGGGACAGUUGGGGGUAUUCGUAUUCCAUUGUCAGAGGUGAAAUUCUUGGAUUUCUGGAAGACGACCUACUGCGAAAGCAUUUACCAAGGAUGUUCNCAUUAA